CUAAAAAAUACAUUUUCCUUUUGCACAAUACAUUUAAUAUACAUACACUAACAACUAUUUAUACAUUAAACACAGCAAGUUUAACAAGCUGCCCUAGCUUGACAUCAUUUGUAAUUAUUUGUUUGCAAAGAAACGAUAAUUACUUAAGAAUCACAUAUUUACUAAACCAUUAUAUAUAUAUUUCAUGAGAACAUUUAUAUAAGUAAGUAUAAACCUUUAUGAGUGAUUGUUUUGAUUUAAUGUAGGAAUUGUGUUAUCUGUGUCUGUAGACCUUCGUAUGAACAUAGUUAUGUGAGGUGCAUUACAUUAAAGAAAAUACCCAUCUAAACUUUUCCUAAAAUACUAACGUAAAACAAUGAAGAUAUACAUUUUUUUGCUUUCUAAUAGCCAAGUAGAAGAGAAGAGGAGCACAAAGCGUAACACCUACCAUGCAUAAAGACGGCGGUGAAGGAACGAAGGAAAAGCAAAUCUAUUUUACAUUGAAUACACCAUGUAUCUUUUCAAAAACAGAAUAUUCAAGAAUAUCAUUUUUCAAUGUGGGGUAAUAGCUGCUUGAUCCAAGGAUAAAUCUGACUGCCAUUCUGGGGUCAAGAAGGAAUUUUUUUCUCCUAAAUUGUUGCAAAAUUGGAAGUGCUUCAAACUGUUUUUUUUUUUUUUACCUUCUUUUGGAUCAACAGCAAAAAACAAAUGUGAGGAAGGCUGAACUUGAUGGACGCAAGUCUCUUCAGCUAUUUAACUAUGAUAUAUGGUGCAUUCAAUAUAUAUAUAUUUAAGCAAUUUAAGGUGAUUUAAUGCAUCAUAACAGGUUCACCUUAAAUAUUUGGGUACCUGCAUUCACCUGUCAAUCAAACGGAUUGAGGUAAAAGGACGAGCAGUAAAACACUUGUAAAUGCUUUUUUUCUGCUCACCAUUACGGUGCUCUCUUUUCAAAACUUCCCUGAGGAAUAUAGGAAUGGAGUAACACAUUUCACUCUGAUCCAAUAACAAUGCGCAGGCACUGUAGCCAUCAUGCUAGUGUCAUGGAAGAGGAAUAUCUUGCUUGAAGAUGUGUGUUACAUUACUGUAACCCCUAUGAAUCUGCAGUGAUGGUGGCACUGUAUAUAGCAUAUAUUUAUGGCUCUAGGAGCAGUUAUAGAAUCAGGUUAACCUGUUUUUACAGACUCACUAUAAUGAGAUCACCAUUAACACAUAUGCACUACCAACUCUUUUAUUGCUAGAAUACCUAUUUUUUUUAAAUAUUAAUUUUGUUUAUUAAAAGGCAAAAGAGACACAUUUAUUUUGUGCACACAUAAUUGGCUAUAUAUGUCUUGAUAAUGUAAGAGACAAUAUAUUUAACUUCUUUAUCGUAGAAUAUAGGGCUGUUAAGGUACUUUAUCAAAUUCCAUGCAAAGUAGGAUAAUGCACAAAUGAUUAGCAAUGGAAGCUGUUUGUUUAUUUUUGUUUUUUUUUAAUUUACCAGCUUAUAUUACCAGUUUAAAAUAAUAUUUAAAAAAUUACUAAUAAUAAAACUACUAAAAUUCGAGAAAAAGAAACUCAAACCAUUCACAUUAAUAAACUGAAGAUGAACAAUAUAAAUUCAACAUUUAAUUUUUUUCACAGCACAUACCUCUGGGUUAGAAGUCUUUUUAAAUAUUGAAUAAACAUAUAUCUGAUUUACUUUACUGUUAUAGCCUAUAGCUCUCAACUGUAUACAUUCACCAUGGUCCAUAAUAUAGUUUAUUAACUUUGCUUCACCUGUAAUAAAAUGUGAGAUAUUACUUUGGAAAACAUUUUUUCUGUUUUGUUCCAAUUCCGAAUCCUCAAAUUGCUCCUAGGAAUCACUAAAUCUUAAAGCUUAAAGGGACACUAGAGUCACCAAAACAACUUCAGUUUUAUGAAAGUUUUGGUGUAUAACUCAUGCCUCUGAGGUUUCACUGCUCAGUUCAAUGCCAUUUAAGAGGUAAAUCACUUUUAAAGGACCACUAUAGUGCCAGGAAAACAUACUCAUUUUCCUGGCACUAUAGUGCCCUGAGGGUGCCCCCAC